GAAGAUUUUGACGAGCUAGGCCAGCAAGUAACUCAACAGCCGCAUGUACACCAUCAAUGAUGGGAAUAUUGGGACCUACGGCAACCUGAAUCUGAUCACGAAUAGCUGCUAAAGCAGCACCACCUAAACAAAUGACAUCUGCACCCUUUGUGUUUGCCAGUUCUUGGGCCUUUUGGACAAGAAGGGUUUCACGCUCUUGUGAAGGCAUUUGCGAAAGUUGCAAAACUGUGCGACCUGUAGAAGCAAUGGCGGCCACUCGAGUGCGCGAAACACCAAAAGAAUCGAGUAAUUCGUAAAGCAAACAUUCGGAACGAUAUGUACUUGUAAGGAUGCCGAUGCGCUGACCAACCGAUAAGGCACUGAGGACAGACGCUUGCACAAUGCCCAUGCAGGGUAAAGCAAAUGACUCACGAAUCAUGUCGACUAGAGGAGUGGGGGAAUAACAGGCAACAGCUAUAGCAUCGACACCAUCCAAGACACUAGGAGUUAGGGCUUGGAAGACUAGAGCAGCUGUCAAGGUUGCCUCUGUGAUGGAGUCGAUGACAGCAGCACCGGGUUGAGGACAAGUUAGAAAGCGCAACUUUACAUCUGAAGGCACUAGGGGAACGAGUUUUUCUUCCAUGGAUGUUGUGAUGAAGGUGGAAGAGUUUGGAUUGAUGACGAGAAUGGUAGGCAUGAUGAGAGAAAAUAGAAAGGUAAGAGACGAAGAGAAAGAAGGUAGAGAAGAGAAAGCGAAGAGAAAAUAGUAAGAAAAAGAGCAAGCAAAGGGGAAAUAGUAGAAAAAAAAAAAGUAAAAGAGAAUGUUGAAGCUGAAUUUACAGAGACACAAAAAAUAAUACAGUUUAUUGGAAAAUAAACCUUUUUUCUAAACUGUUUGUCAAAAACUAAAAUUGAAAAACCAGUGUCACAAUUUAUUAUAAAGUGUAGAAAAUCGAGUU